GGAAGUAAAAGUCGUAACAAGGUCUCCGUUGGUGAACCAGCGGAGGGAUCAUUACAGAGUUUUCACAACUCCCAACCCUUGCGAACCGUACCCAAUCUCGUUCUCGUUGCUUCUGGCGGGGGGGACGGGCCCUACGAACCUUUGUAUCUCAACCACUAGAAAACCGUCUGAGGAAAACAAACAAAAUAAUCAAAACUUUCAACAACGGAUCUCUUGGCUCUGGCAUCGAUGAAGAACGCAGCGAAAUGCGAUACGUAAUGUGAAUUGCAGAAUUCAGCGAACCAUCGAAUCUUUGAACGCACAUUGCGCCCGCCAGCAUUCUGGCGGGCAUGCCUGUCCGAGCGUCAUUUCCCCCCUCACGCGCCCCGUUGCGCGCUGGUGUUGGGGCGCCUCCGCCUGGCGGAGGCCCCCGAAAGCGAGUGGCGGGCCCUGUGGAUGGCUCCGAGCGCAGUACCGAACGCAACGUUCUCCCUCGCUCCGGACGCCCCCCAGGUGCCCUGCCGUGAAAACGCGCAUGACGUGCAACUCUUACCCAAGGUUGACCUCGGAUCAGGUAGGACUACCCGCUGAACCUAAGCAUAUCAAUAAAGCGGAGGA
rnacentral:misc_RNA from 1 species